rnacentral:rRNA from 1 species
UACAGAGGGUGCAAGCGUUGUUCGGAAUUAUUGGGCGUAAAGCGCGUGUAGGCGGCUUUGCAAGUCGGGUGUGAAAGCCCUCAGCUCAACUGAGGAAGUGCGCCCGAAACUGCAGAGCUUGAGUACCGGAGAGGAUGGCGGAAUUCCCCAAGUAGAGGUGAAAUUCGUAGAUAUGGGGAGGAACACCGGUGGCGAAGGCGGCCAUCUGGACGGAUACUGACGCUGAGAAGCGAAAGCAUGGGGAGCGAACAGG